rnacentral:rRNA from 1 species
UACGGAGGGUGCGAGCGUUGUCCGGAUUUAUUGGGUUUAAAGGGUGCGUAGGCGGCGCGGUAAGUCGGGUGUGAAAUCUCGGGGCUUAACUCCGAAACUGCAUUCGAUACUGCCGUGCUUGAGGACUGGAGAGGAGACUGGAAUUUACGGUGUAGCGGUGAAAUGCGUAGAUAUCGUAAGGAAGACCAGUGGCGAAGGCGGGUCUCUGGACAGUUCCUGACGCUGAGGCACGAAGGCCAGGGGAGCAAACGGG